rnacentral:ncRNA from 2 species
AUGCAUUGCUUUACUUUCAGUGCACACAUCUUAGAAUGGCAAGCUUGCAGCGCGAGGAAGCCGGUGAGAACCCGGCGCGGUCGCGCCACUGUGAGUGUGCCCAACGCGGUUUUCAAGCCCUGAAGCAAGGGUAUGAAAGCCAUUCGAUGCACGCAAGUCAGACCCCCGCUGCAGCCUUUCUUUAAUC